UUUUUUUUUUUAGGUUUCCACCUAAUGUUCAAUAUUAUUUUUAGGAUCUGAUAAAUCUAAAUUUGUAAUAAUUUUUUUUUUCUUAUCCUCUUAUUUAAGAGAAAAUAAAAUGGGUCGAAUUUGGAUCGGUUCACAUGAGCGAUUCAUGGCCCGUAAAAUUUGACCAGAAGAGUUUGAAAGGUAGCUAUUUUAAGUAAUUCGUUAGUAAUUUGAAUUUAGUCUUGAUCCAAUGUCAAAUACACUAGUCGUCAAUAGAUUAUGUACAUUUAAAUGUUGAAAAACAAUCAAAUUUAAUUAUUUAAUGCUAAGAUCUAAAAAUAAUAUCUAGAUUAUUCAGAUGUACAUUCAGAUUCUGACGUGUCAAUGUUAAUGCAAAUAAGGACUUAUAUUCCAACCAUUUUACCGUUAUAUUAUUUGCUUGAUCACGAGUCACUUUAUUUUUAAUUUAGAAUAGUUGCAAGGUGCAGUCGCCUUGCAUACAUACAAAACUUGAUUUUCUUUACAACACACUCAGAUCUAUCAUUUAUUUUUUGUCAAUGGCUAUCAACAACUCAUCAGAGAAUAAUCUUCAGCUCAAUGAAGUAAUUGUAGCCAUGGUUCCAUGGCCUGAACAUGGCCAUCUCAACCCAUUAUUUCUCCUUUCUCGCUUCAUUGCUUCACACAACAUUCCUGUACACUUCCUCUGCUUAACUGCCCGAAACCACGAUUUGAAGAAACGCCUUCACGGUGUUCGACGAAAUGCCACGGAUGAAAAUUUGCAUUUCUGUGACCUCUCAGUACCUACAACUGAGGCAGAAAGUGAUAAAGAUUUGUUGUUGGAAAAUCUAGGGGAGUCUAUUUGUGAAAAAUGCCAUGUACUCUCCAAAAAUACUAAAAGAUUGGUCAUCAUUCAUGAUUGUUUGAUGAUAACUUAUAUAAGGGAUCUGCAUUCAAUACCCAACAUCAAGUGUUAUUCUUACCACUCCAUUUCAUCUUUCGUUAGGUAUUCGACUUUCAGACAAGUUCUUCAUAUAGUUGAUGAAGAUCAAGACAAGUUGAUUCAGGAACUAGGCGAUGAGUUUCCGACGGUGGAGAGCACUUUUGGGCCACAUCUGGAGGAGUAUAUACAAGAAGAACGUGAAUGGAAGCUAAAUUCUGGAGCUGUCUUGAACUCCUUCAGAGAAUUGGAAGACAAGUAUCUUGAUUCAUUUGCCAUUCAUGCAGAGGAUAUUACGCCGGUGUGGUGUCUUGGUCCAUUUCACAUGCUGCUCGAAUCAUCAGUUGAUUUGUACAAUAAGAGUGCUCAACAUGUGUCCCUGGAAUUUCUCGACAAACAAGAUGUUAAUUCGGUAAUAUUCGUGUCAUUUGGGACAACCACUACAUUGUCACAAGAGCAAGUCAAUGAGCUCGCGCUUGGUUUAGAACAGAGCAGCCAUAAAUUUAUAUGGGUNNNNNNNNNNNNNNNNNNNNNNNNNNNNNNNNNNNNNNNNNNNNNNNNNNNNNNNNNNNNNNNNNNNNNNNNNNNNNNNNNNNNNNNNNNNNNNNNNNNNUUUUGUCUUCUCAUGGCCAUUGACUAACUCGUCGUCAGAUAAAUCAGCCUCUAAAUUACAAAAAUCAUCACCAGAUGAAUUUUCAUGUGUAAGUUGUUCCUUGUCAUUAUCUUCAAUGGUUUCUUGAUAUGGUAUAAUCCCACUGUCCAUUUUAAAAUAAGAGUCUAAGUGCUCGAAGUAAAUCUCAUUCACAUCCUCUUUUCGAAGACUCUUGCUAACUGCAUAGGCUUCAAAAUCGGUAGAAAUUAGUCUCCAUCUUCUACCAUACUUUCCACACUUGUACCAAAAGGUUAUUGAAUCAGAUGCAUAUCCACAAAUCUCCGCCAUCAUUUUAAACUCCUGAAGAUUCAACGUGUUCACAUUAAUGUAAUCAAUAUAGUCUAUGCUGCCAUUUAUGUAAUGUUUGUCUGGAAUACGUCUCAUGACACCCCCAUGAUAUAUUUUUAUACUAACAAAUGAAUCUUCGAGUACUGGAUCUGAAAUAAAAAAACAAGCAUAUAUUACAUAAGGUGUUGUAGUUUACAAAAGUAUAAAACAAACUAAUGAAUGGAAAAUGCUUCAACUUAAUAAUCAAAUAUAAUACUGUUGCAUCCAAAAUAAAGAAAUUCAAUCCUUGUAAUUAUAUAAACAGAAAAUAGUAUAUCAAAUCAGAGAUCUUGGGAAUUUGAUUUUUACUUUAAAAAAAUUAUAAUCGAUAAAUUUGUUCAAGUAAAAUCAUUCUCUUAAACUUGAAGGUUCUCCAAUAGAUAUAUAAUGAUGAUUUUUGGGGUCGCCUUAAUAAUUCACUAAGCUGGAGCUACUGAAGAAUGCAUCACUGAUCAUAAUGAUAUCGAUGUGCGCUAGCUUUGUGAGCUAUGACACUUCAGAUUCCAUUCCAGGUGCACCAUCUUGUGUUGCUAUAACGACCCUUAGCAAUGUAGCUAGCUCCAUGCCUCCACCGGCAUUGAGAUUCGAUAGUUCGUUUGCAGAUGCAGGAGGAUCUUAUUACUUCUUACAACCCAAAUUCUAUUGCCAUUGCCAUUCUGGCUGAUUUCUGUAGUGUUUUUUUUGUUUCACCAUUGAUCCUAAUACUAUUUGUGAAUAGUAAGACUAUCAUGAGUUUCUUACCACUUAAUACUUUGUAGUUUCUUUUUUGAAUCUAACCAUUCAAUAUCCUAAUAUCUAGAUUCAGGAUCAAUAAGAGGGUUAAAGUGUAUUCUACAAAAAAAACUUUUUUAUCGAGGCAUCAGGUUAAAGAUCGAAAGAAUUUAAACAUUCCCCAUAGUUUUUAAUGGUAUAUAGUUUCAAUUGAAUCUCUGAUCAAGCUUUUUCUUUUAUUUUUAGUACAUCUCAUGAAAAAAUUGUGACUAGAAAGUGAUGCAGAAGAACAAACACUUACUUUAACUCCAAUCAUGAAGAGCAGCCGUACUAGAGCAAUGAUAUAAUAAUCAACCUACCACGUUUUUGUUUCAAAUGUAGAAUAGAUAAUUCUCAAAAGCAAUAACAAUGAUCUAGAGAUGAAAAAAAUUCUCACCAUAAGUAGGAGUUGAUUCGCUAUCAUUGUUGUGCCUUAACAACAUAAUUGCUUUACAAAAUGGAUCAACCUUUUAAUGAAAUUCAGAACAAAAUUGAGAUUAUAGGGUUUGAUUUGAAGCAAAAAGGGAAGAGAAGUCUGGUUUAACAAGGAAAACGAAGAGACAAGGAAAAGUGAGUUUUGGCGGGAAACCUUUCUCACGUGUAAAAAGAGAAGCACCGUUAGAUUUUUGACGGCUGUUUACAAAAGUAUCAAAAAUGUACCAAUUAUUGAAACAUGGAGGACUAUUAGUGCUCCAUGUUAAAACACAAGGAUUACUUUGAUCCUUUACUCCAUAGAGUUAGGUAGUCACGAGAUGCAAGUUUCUUUUUCAAAUGGUAAUAAAAACAAAAUGUUGCGUCUCACUCUCACAUGAGUUUGACACUUUCUUGGCUCGAUACUCUUCCAACUUUUUAGCCACACUUCUUUUUAAUAAAUAAUACUCUCUCCUUUUCUGUCUAGUUGUCAAUUAUUUUAAAUUUCACAUUUCUUAAGAAAUUAGGUAAAAUUAUUACUCUCUCCGUUUUUUUUAUAUGUCAUUCUUACUAUAAAUAGUUGAUUCAUAAUACUUGUUAUUUCAUAAAAUCAAUGCAUAAAUUAUAAUAUUCUUCUUAUUUUAUCUUUGUGAGUUAUUAGCCUUGAAAAUAUACAUUUGACCAACAUAGAAAAACUAAGUGGAUAAUUCAUGUUCAUUGGUCAAAUUAAUUAAUCAAAUUAAAUUAAUUCAUAUUCAUUAAUUGAAAAGUUGACUUCAAAAAAAAUUUAAAUAAGGGUAGUAUAGUAAACUUACUUAAUUUCUUAAUGCACGUGAAAUAAAAAAUGGUGUCGUAUAAAUAGGAACGGAUGGAGUAUUGUAUUCUUAUUUUGUGUUAUCUUGAAGUCAAGUUUUCAUUAAAUGAACAUAUUAAUUAAUUAAAUUGACUAAUGAAUAUGAAUUAAUUAUUUAGUUUUUUUUAUAUUGGUCAAAUUCAUACUUUCAAGACUAAUAAGUAACUCUUAGAAGUAAAAUAGGAGAAAUAAUGUCAUUUAUAUAUUGAUUUUGUGACAUGACAAGUAGGGUAUUACGAAACAUCUAUUUUUAAUAAGGAUGAUAUAUAAAUAAAAACGGAGAGAGUAUUUCUGUAUAUAACAAGUUAAGUAUUCGUUCGUUUUAAUUUGUUUGAGUUUGUUUCUGUUUUAAUCUUUUUUAAAAAGAAUAACUCUUUUUCUCUUAUAACAAUUUUUAAAUUUCAAAUUUUCAUAUGACAUGUUUAAGUUUACAAACUUAAAAAGUAUUUUGAUAAAUUUUAAUAAUGUUGUUUGAUAAUUUACCUUAAAACUCAAUCAAAUUAAAUUUGUUUUAAAAAAUGACUUAAAAUAAAUCAAAAAUCAAAAGUAGGUUACUUAAAAGUCAUUUCAGCUUGACUUUUUGUUUUUGACUCAAAAACUACUUUUUAAGUCAAUCCAAACGGCUCUUAGUACUGCUAUUUGAUAAUAUACUUGAAACAUGCCAUCAAAUCAAAUCUAUUUUAAAAGAGUAAUAUUUCAAAUUAAAAUGGAGAAAGUAAUAUUUUAUACUCUUUCUUUCCAUUUUUACUCAUUCAUAUUUGACUUGACACACCCUUAAGAAGAAAAAAAAUGAAUAAUUCACUAUAUGUGACCCUUAUUAAUUAUUUGUCAUCUAAAUAUUGAAAAAUGAAUAGUAUCGAAUAGCAAGAAUAAAAUAGACACAAAAUAAUAAAUUAUCUCUAAAAAAGUUUCAAAUUAAAUAAAUAAAAUAAUUAUUAUUUUUAAUAUAUUAAACAAGUAAAAAUAGAUGGAAAAAUUUCAGAAAUAGCAAACAUAAUAGUCAUAAUAAAGCUUUAUAUUAUAACUAUAGUUUCGAUAAUUACGCUCCAUACUUGUAGUUCCAUUUGCUAAGGAGACUGUGGUUUGUAUAUUUCGCUUGCGAAUAUACAAAUUAUGUAUUUAUACAUUUAGGAAUUUUUCAGAACUUCGUUUGUAUAUUUCGCUUGUUUAUAUACAAACAUGGAAAUUUAUAGUGAAUUUUUUCAUAAAUCGUAUACAAAUAGUUAGGGUAAGUAUAUACAAAUUUUAGAUUUAUACAAUUAGGAACCGAAUUAUAUAAAAUUCUAAUUUAUACAAUCCGACAAAUUAUACAUAUUAAACUAAUAGCAAGAUUUGGAAGAAAACUAUAACUGCGAAUUACAAUUUUUCUAAAUAAUAGCUAUAAUACUUAAUAUCAUUUAAAUAUUUACUAUUUUAUACAAUUUUCCUGAUUUCGAAUGUGUGUCGAAAAAACAUGAAGCCAAGCAAGAUGUCUUGGGGCAAAGUGUUGGUUAGGUGUUAAUUCCCUAUUUAUUACUCCCUCUGUUCCAGUUUAUGUGACUUACUUUCCUUUUUAGUCAGUCCAAAAAAGAAUGACACAUUUCUAUAUUAAGUAACAAUUUGACUAUAAAAUGUCUAUUUUACCCUUAAUGAAAUGAUUUACAGCCAUACAAAUUUCUAUCAUUCAUUUUGGACCACAAAUUUUAAAAGUCUUCCUUUCUUUUUUAAACUUUGUGCCGAGUCAAACUACCUCACAUAAAAUGGGACGGAGGGAGUAAUAUAUGUAUAAUUGAGCAGCCUUUACACAACAAAUACUUGUCCAUGUGACUCCAACCUUCACCUCUCAUUGAAAUUACAACCGACACUUUUGACUAUUUUCUAAUGCUAAGAUUCUACCCUCUUCUCUUUUUUUCUUUUUCUUUUUAAAAAAUAAUUAUUAAAUUUUAAUUUUGCGAUAUAUUUCCUCUGUCUUAUAUUAGAUGGAUAUUUUACUAAAAAUAUUUAUUUCAUAUUACUUGGUCAUUUAUUAAUUUAGAAUAAAAUUAACUAUUUUUUUUUCUAUUUCACCCCUACAAUUAAUAUGAUCUUUGAAAGUCUAAAUAAUUUUGAAGAUGUAGAAUUUUUUUUAAGCUGGAGCUACUGAAGAAUGCAUCACUGAUCAUAAUGAUAUCGAUGUGCGCUAGCUUUGUGAGCUAUGACACUACAGAUUCCAUUCCAGGUGCACCAUCUUGUGUUGCUAUAACGACCCUUAGCAAUGUAGCUAGCUCCAUGCCUCCACCGGCAUUGAGAUUCGAUAGUUCGUUUGCAGAUGCAGGAGGAUCUUAUUACUUCUUACAACCCAAAUUCUAUUGCCAUUGCCAUUCUGGCUGAUUUCUGUAGUGUUUUUUUUGUUUCACCAUUGAUCCUAAUACUAUUUGUNNNNNNNNNNNNNNNNNNNNNNNNNNNNNNNNNNNNNNNNNNNNNNNNNNNNNNNNNNNNNNNNNNNNNNNNNNNNNNNNNNNNNNNNNNNNNNNNNNNNAAAACAGCCUCUAAGGAAGGGAAAUCUGGUCCCUAAAAGUCCAAAUCUAGUCCCAAAAGAGUAUUUGGGACCAGAAAAAACUGGUCGCCACCCGUCCUAAAAGCCUCCGUCGCUAUUGGUCAACAACGACGGGUCAAAAGGACUGGUCGUUAAAAGGUUUUGGGACGAGGAACAAAUCUGGCCGCUAAAUCAUUUUAGAGACUACACUUCUGGUCUCAAAUAGACCAUAGAUAUCUUGGGGAAGUCUUAUUUUCAGGUCGUUAAAACAUAUUAGUGACCACCAACAACUGGUCCUCAUAAUCUUUAGAGAAGAGGACGACCUGGUCCUAGUAAUAUUUAGCGACCAUUAAAGACUUGGUCUUAGAAUAGCUUUAGAGACAAGCAUCAUUUCUAGUCCUUGAUUAUUCAUUUGAGAAGUGUAACAAGUCUGGUCCUAGAUUGACCACCAAUACAUUUCAACAAAUAUUAAAUUGCUACUAAACAUCUCGACUAAAAACAAUGAUAUAUAUAUAUAUAGAGAGAGAGAGAGAAGAGAUAGAGACAUGAAGGUAGAUAUAAAGAGUAUGAUUAAUUAAUAGGUUCACAUCCCAUGAUCAUAGUUUCAGUAAUAUUUGCUUGACAAUAAAAUGUAGCUAACAUCCGAGCUAGACUAUGAUAUGAAGUUUUGCAUAACAUUCGUAGCAAACUAAUAAUGAGCUUGUGCAUCUUUUCAAAACUUGUUUCUUGACUAAAGAAUGAACAAAAGUUGGGCAUAAAAUUUAAUGUUUCAAUCUUCAUCAAGUGUUAUCCAAAAGCAUCAAUAAAAGCUGCAAAGAAAAAAAAAUCUAUUAGAUAAACUUUGAGAUGUAUUAUUAUUAUAUUUAAUGUAAAUUGUUCUAUUGUCUAAACUAAUAAGAAAAAACUGAACAGAUUAAAAUAUAUUGAUUAAGAUUAAAAUUGCUAUGCGCAAAUGCAGUCACCAACACCUACAUUUUGACUGAGUCUACUCCUUUUUCAAUUUGGGAGAGAGCUUUCUUUCUAUAUCUGGGCAUGUAACCAUACAUGUGCGUACUUCCUGGGACAUAGAUACCG
rnacentral:lncRNA from 1 species